GACACAUCUACUACAUAAAUAAUGUUGGUGAAAAAAAUAUAAAUGUAAGUUUUGUCAAAUAAAAUAACGUAGGAAAACAGUGAGAAACUAUAAUGUAACGUUAAUCUAUUGUUAGACUAAGGAGAUGGAUCAGUUCUCACUUUAAACCCUGGUAGGGUAGGUACAGCUUUAGCUAGCUAAUCCCUCUUGCCUCUUGUCCACUAAAAGUAAAGGGUAAUUUUACCAGUAGUUUCACAUCAAACAACAAUAUGUUGCAAGCAAAUGUUUAUACUUCUACAUAUUUCCUACAGAUAACCACUACAUAUAAAAUUGGCGCGUUAGCUGUCUGUACAUCUAGCUAGCUGUUAUGUACGCCUCUUAGCUAGCGUUAGCCGGCUAACGUGAACGCUAACGAACUUUCUAUCUUAAACGUCAUUUUCAUUCUGUUUAUGUAGUUUUAAAAAAGGCCGAAAUGCCUCGACCUGUUUAAUCUUUUUGUGUUUUGACAUUAUGUUGUAAAAAACAUUAAAAAAAGAAGAUAAAAUUAGGUAAUAGUAUGUGGUCAAAAUGAGAUAUCCUCACCCAGUUCCGUUAGGAGCGCUGGAAGAAGUAAAGAAGUCUGAAGUAUUCCAGCACAGAGGACACAGCACACAGCAGAGAGGCACAGAGGCUGUCUGGCAUGUCCUGAUAUCUGGUUGUGGGAUGGACUGAUGAUACAACAGCAUGAUGCUAAAGAAAGUAGACGGGGAGAUGUUGGUGAACCAACACUGAAAAGAUCCAAAUGUGUUUAAUCUGGAAGCUGCCAAAACGUGGCUUUGACAGGGAGUGACAUCUCAGCAAGUGAAUCAAUCAAACUGGGAACAUUUUCACUUUGAAUAUAAUGGAAUAGCUUCUCAUCACUGGAGAAGGUGGAGGCUCCGGGAAUAUGGACAGCUUUAACUACACAGGCGAAGGCGGACUUCCAUUCCAGCACUUGGUCCAAGAUGUGGAGCCACUUUACAAGGAGUACAAGCCUCCUCCCAGGGACCUCAUCCAGCUCCCUAAAUCCGUCCUCUACCUCCUGAUGGCCGCUCUGAUCGUUGUUGCUGUGGCUUACGCUAUCGUGGGUCACCUCAUCAAAGACCUCAUGCUGGAUAUAACAGACUGUUUGCUUGGCCCGCUUGAUGACGACAUGGCGAAAGACGGCGGGAUGGAGGGAGUCAGCCCAAUGCACAUACCCCCUGUCCUCGCCCACUCGCACCCAAAUGCCUUCCACGUGUGGGACCAGGACGACGUGAUCAUCCCCAUGGCUCACCUGCACGAGAGCCCGCUGGCCAGCCCUCUGAUGUCCGUCAUGCCAUACAUACCUUCAUUCUUUCCCGCCUCCCUGAAUGUGAACAGCCCGUCCUACAAUUACCCGCUCCCGAGGGAGAGUGAUGCAUGAGACAGCGUGAGGGAUCCAAGACAGUUUUCAUGUGGUGCAUCUGUUUUUAACACUGUUUCCUCUUAUCCCCCUCUUGCUUUGAUUCCCUUCUUUAGUUGAGCUCCUUUAGCUCCUUGUUUUCACCCCUGAAACACAUUUCAAACCCCUUGUUGGAUAAAGUUGAAUCAUUUAUGGGAACAUCGCGUGAAAAUCAAUCUGUGACACAAAGCCAGCAUCAUCUUGUGACUUGCAGAGACCUGGCGACUAUGCAUGCAAGACUUUUGACAUUUUCUGACUCGGAUCAUACUUAAGCAGUGAUUGAGGCCAAUCAGGACGUGUGGAUUUACCGCUGUCGGAGUGACUGAUCUCUGUCAUUGACCUUUUCUCAGGAUCCGAGCCUGGGACUCUGAGUGGGACAGCCUUCACUUGUUAAUAUUCCCUCCGGACUUGUGCCAAGUUAGCAUCAUUAUUAUUUACCCUCUCCUUCUAGACUCAGUUAUCAGUCCACACUGUUAUAUUAGUUUUUAUGUUGGAACUUAACCUGUUUUGGCAAAUUCCAUAUGGAGUUAUGAGGAGUCAUUCACCAUAAUCCAGAUUUAUAAUGAGUUCAUGUUUGGACAUGGACAGGGGUGCACCUCAGUAAAGACAGACCCCCAUCAAAAUUUCACAGUUACACUAAGUGAUUCUCAGAUGUAUCGUACAGUAUACAAUACCGUAUAAAUGAUGAAGAGAGCAGUGAGCACGUUACAGGGGAGACGAGUGUCUGCGUUGAGCUCUUGUGUCAAAUAAAGGUGAAUACUAUACAAAGACAAUGUGCGCUAACACUUGUGUCUCAAUCUUAUUCUGAUGCUAAAUAUAUUUGUGCUCCUUAGGAGGAUCGGCCUAACUUACUUAGCAAUAGGGUGGAGUUAAUUCAGUUAGUGGAGGUGACCGCUUUCAGGUGACCAUGUGAUGUUUUUUAAGGACAGGCCCGGAAUGCACGCGAUAAAUACAAUACAAAAUAAAAUUUCGGGUCAAGUAACAAUGGUAAAUGACACCAAAUCCUACUUUUAAAGAGUCUUUAAAGGUUCCCUGAGGGUUUUUUCUGAUAAGUAGCAGUGGGGCCGUGCUUUACUAGCUGUUUCCAUUGUGCACAAGACAAAAUUCACAGGGUUCAGUUAAGGCUGCCAGUUUACAGAUUUAACACUCUUUUUGUCUUAUCAGAAUCUAGUGGAAAUAUAAUUCAAUGAAACCUAGCACCAGCAAAGGCAAAGAAGCGAAACGGUGCUUGAAAAUAUUUAAAAAAUAGGUUUGCAAAUGUUUUACAAGAUGAAAUGCACGCAGUGUGUUUUGUUAAGAAACACUAAAUGUAAAUUAUAGUUUUGUUUGUCUAUAAGAAAACUUCACAAGUCUCCUUUAAAUGUUUCAUUUCUAAAAAUGCAACACUACACUGCACCACUGGGAAAAAAAUGAGACAUUAUGGUCUUAUAUGUGUAUGGUAUAAUAUGAUUCACUGGAGUCGUAUCUGUUAAACUGCGAUCUGAUAUGUGUUUAAGAUGUCACUGCAGGAUGCACCCAGAUCUAUUUUUGUUUGCAAAAACACACGCGCUGUUGCAAAACUCAAAAUGAAAGAUUUCAGGGUCCUUUUUAAGCAGGAUAUCGGCUGAGAUGCAGAAAUCCUGGGAUAUUAAAAGCACACGAAGGCUGUGACGUCACAAACACACACACACAUUUGCACAGCCUCAGCACUUUCAGUCAUUUCUCGUUUGCUCUCGAAUUAUUUCACUUCUACUGUCAUUCGCUGGGUAAAUAUCAAAGUAGUAACUUUGUUUUUUUUGUUUUUUAAAUAUUAGGUAAUUUUUGGUUAACAUUGCUCUUUCCAUCUGUUGAACCCAGUGUGUUCAGUGAGGGAUGGAGAUUAAGGAGAGAAGAUUUGAUGAGCAGCUUAGCCUUUAAUACAGCGUCCUUUUAUUACUUUUGAGCUGUGGAAUUAGAUAAUCGGACAGCGGCAGCAGUGCAGUCUGAGUGGACGCACGUCAGAACAUUGAUAUUCUGGUUGUAUGACAGGAUUCACUGCAUCCAGGCUGUGGCGUUUAAAGACAGCCAACAGUGUGAAUGAAGUGUGGAGUCAGUGACGAUACUCACGUCAGCAGGGUGGGUCUGAUAUAAAUCCAAAGCAGCAUGACUGACUUCAGUGGGAGAUGUUGCUGGCUUGCGUAAGAGCUAUAAGUUGUGGAGUGCUGGGAUGUAGCCACAUGAUGGAGGAGAGUAGUGACAGUAACAGCUGUAUAUGCAGAUGGAGAUCUGGCUGUUUUAUUAGCCAGCUUCUUACUCCACGAAAUACACAUAUUUCACAAUGAAUACCAAAAAGUAUUUACAUUUUUAUGCAAUUGUAUUUUGAUACAUCAGUACAGAACGCAGGGAACAUGGGUGAGCAGGAAGUAACCAAGAGUCGUGGGCUUGCCGAACUGGGCAGGUUUAAUAAGAAAAUAUCAAUAAGAAAUAAUAGAUUAUGAUAGUAAUAAUAAUAAAUGGAACAAGACGAUGUAACUUUAGAGCACUGAGCAGCAACAAACGUCUUUUCAUUUUCUCUCCAACAUGUAACAGACACCAACAGUUCCUGCAUCACGAGCAGAAACAAGUUCCUUUAUUUAUUUUCAUGUAGGAAUCAGCCAGUUACUUUUUGAAAACGACUUUUUCAGGUCUGAUUUGAGGAAAGAUAGAAGCCCUUUUAAUCCUAUUUCCUCAGGCCUCCUGCCAGAAGAGAUCUUAUUGCUCUUUAACUCCGCACUGGCACUAUGAGAGGUGCACAGAAGCUCUUUACUCGGCGUAGAUGGGUAAGGACUUAAGGUGGAGCAAAUUAAGACUGAAAGAAGGUCAAACUGGUAGAGAGUUCCACACCCUCUGGUGUAUCUCUUCAUCCGACACAUCACAUUUCACGCAGCUUUUAUUCAAUGUCAGGACUUUGCAAAGGUUUUCAAAAGUAAUCUCGCAGGUUGUUAAACCUUCCAAAAAAGAUCCUUGCCAUUGUUUAAGUGCUGAUAUUAAAAGGAAGUCAUUUUGAGAAGUGUAGUGUGAAAGAUCCUGUUUUGUGUCUCUGUUGGUAAAUGAUGCACAGUUUCACUGUGAAUGAGGUUAAACGAAAUGAGGACACAGGAUGUACCUGUGUGCACAUCCUACACUGCAUUAUUGACAUAAUAAUAACAACAACUCCCCAACUGUAACUGCUUGUUAAAUCAUCCCUUCAUUUGUGCUCACCGGUGUCAAGAGACAUUUUAGGAUUAGCUGUUGUUUGGAUUUUGAGGUGGAACAUGUGAGCACAGGAUUAUGACGCUGCAGUUGUGCACAUUUUGACUGGGGGUUUGGCACUGCUCAAAAAGUGCAGAUUCAGGUGGUGAUUCUCUACAGGAUCAUUAGAUUCACUGCUCGAGGCCCUUUCACAUUGUCAUUUGAAACUUGGUUGUUGUAAAAAUAAGAAUAAAAACCCCCCAUGUUAGCCGCUUUAAUCCU
ensembl:lncRNA